rnacentral:rRNA from 1 species
UGCAAGUCGACGAGAAGUACCUUCGGGUGCGAGUACAGUGGCGGACGGGUGAGUAACGCGUAGGAAUAUACCUGGUAGUGGGGGACAACUCGGGGAAACUCGAGCUAAUACCGCAUACGCUCUACGGAGGAAAGUGGGGGAUCUUCGGACCUCACGCUAUCAGAGUAGCCUGCGUUGGAUUAGCUAGUUGGUGGGGUAAAGGCUCACCAAGGCGACGAUCCAUAGCUGGUCUGAGAGGACGAUCAGCCACACUGGAACUGAGACACGGUCCAGACUCCUACGGGAGGCAGCAGUAGGGAAUAUUGGGCAAUGGGCGAAAGCCUGACCCAGCGAUGCCGCGUGUGUGAAGAAGGCCCUAGGGUUGUAAAGCACUUUCCGCAGUGAAGAAAUGUCGGAGGUUAAUAACUUCCGGCUUUGACGUUAACUGCCAAGAAGUACCGGCUACUCCGUGCCAGCAGCCGCGG